rnacentral:lncRNA from 1 species
CUGGAUCCGACUACAAACUCCCGUGAGGAAUCACAGGUGCAAAAGAAGAUGCAAGGUACCAGUGGUACCGUACCACAGAACCACUUAUGGGGACGUUUAUGGCAGCACCAAAGAACUGGGUUUCUCGCGAAGGAGAAAAAUUCACUGUGACAUGGACCACCGAAAACGGAUUUCAGCCAAGAGUUGCCCGUUGCUCCCGUCCACGUUUACGAGCUCCCAGUUACCCCUACCCUCCCUUAUUACCGCAGAGGGGCAGGUAGCAAAACCUAAAAUACCUUUUUAUUAGAUUGUUUAUGAAUUUUUCGUGUUUUAUUUACCUUAAGCUACCAUGAUCCCUGACAAAGUUUGAUUAAUUAAAUUAAAAUUCUUAAGAUUCGUUGGAGUUCUAUUUUGAUUUACAAACGAUUCCCUCUUGGCAAUUUAGCUUAUUUGGACAGUGGAGAUAGGCGCUACAUCAUACCCAAAUCAUACAUACUACCUACAUCAUACCAUUUUGUCCAUUUAUGAUUAUGAAAUCUUAUGAUUCAUGUUUUUGUCUGUUGAAUAACUUGGAAUUUUUUCACAAUUUUAGUGUAACCACCUUUUUCAUAUUCAUGCAACCUUGCCCACUCCCCCUCCUAUUGUUAUUAUUCAAAAUGGACGCUGACUUGUUGACAGUGCGUUAAUUAACUUGUGACGGUAUGAUUGUUUCGAGAGUUAUUCACUGCAUUUUGGAGUUUUUGAUUAACUUAAUCGCUGUAAAUCUGUGCAACAAGCAGAGAAAGUGGUUUAACAAGACCUUCCCGGUUCACCCAUCGUGUCAUUUCACAAUUAUUUGUGGUUUUUUAUACGAGGUCAUUGGGCCUAUGACACCGACUCCAGGUUUUAACUGAACGAAAAAUUCUACGAAACCGACUAAAACUGAAUCGUCAAUUCUUUGAACUCGCCAGGAAAGUUACGUAAUGGAUAAACGAGUUCGUUCUUCAAGAAUUGUGAGAAUUCGCUUUUGCCCACGUGAGUUAGGAACUUUAAAGAGACGGCACCUCCAAGUAAAUCACGACGCUGUAGCUGUACGGCUGUAGUUGCUGCUUUCCUAAUAAAUGCUGAUUUUGAGGCAACGCUGCGUUUUUUUUUUGACAUGGUACAGGAUUGACAGCCUCGAGCUUCAACAAGGGAAUUAGCGCCAUUCCAUCCCAAAGGUCCACACCAUCUAGUGAAGAAGAAAACAAAUACGAAAUGCUGCCAUCUAGCAAUAAAAAGAAAAUGCAUACACCGAAGUGACGGAACAAUAAGUAGCAACCAACAUGGCAGCGUCCGGCGUGGUGUGAAUUGUGAAUGUUGUCACAGUUCUAGGAUUUGUCGUUCUAUCGUGCUUUUAAGUUUUAACUACCUGUGACUUAUUUUCCUUGCAUUGAAUAACUUAAGGUGUUAUUUAGUCUAGUCUUUCAGUAACUAAGCUUAGAAAAGCACCAGUGGAACAUGUGAUUAGCAGCAAGAGUUGGAAUGAAGAAUAGUUCAGCAGGCCUACAAUUGGACAACUCUGACAACGAGGAUUUUUUGUGAGUUGCUGUUGAUUUCAAUCUCCAAAGUCAGAAUUUCUUAGAAAUAAAUUACUUGAUACAUCAGUCUUCAAUGAAGUUGGAUAGAAAGGAGGAGAGUGUUCCCAGUUGUUCCAGUAGUAGGAGGAAUAGUCUUGCUGCUGUGGUUGCUGCUCCGUUCGGAAUCCAUUCGAGUUAUUGAAAUUGGACUGGGGACUAACGACGUCUUGUGGACAGCUGGUAGCAAGCCAUUCGGAUUGAAGUGGAGACGACGAUGAUGAUUCGGACGUCGAGUAGUUGAUUGGUUCCACGGGUGGAACUGCCGGAGGAUCCGAAUAAAAUCCAGGAGUUGGGAGGACUUGAGUUGAAACAGACUAACCUUGUCGACUUUGACGAGAAACGUAUGGCGGUGAUCGACGAUGUUGGCGAUUUGUUUCGCGAGUUGAAGUUGCGGUUCUUGAAGAUCCAAGUUGGCGUGCACGUCGACGGCGAUUCUGAAACCACCACUGAUGCAAUCAAUAAGAGAAAUUCAUUUGAGAGACGCCAAUCAACUGGGCGAUGCGUCGGCGACCUUCUCGAUUGGGAAACGGAUCUCUGUUGAACUCUGCGUCGAGUAGCUCCAGCUGGACCUCGUCGUAAAAGUGGCGCUGACGACCGGAUGCUGAAGAAGACUUCGUGGUGGAAACAACGGGAUAAUAAUCUGAAAAUUAUCCAGGCGGAAGUACUCAAUCGUCAUUGCUGUCCAGAAUCAACAUCAGAUUAUUGGAAGAUUUAGGUAUUAACCUUGCGGUGUUUCUUCUCGUCUUUGCCAGCUUAUCAGAUAAUCCAAAAUAUCCAGCCAGCUCAGCGUUUGACUUCUCAAAGCAAAGUUUGUAGAAACCCAAAAGGAAGGACAGAAAGAAAUGUUAUAAAAACCACUUUGAUUAUAAAAUUCAGGAGAAAAAAAAGGUUUUGCUGGCUUCGUUUACACCUUUCUCCCGUGGCAAAAACCAUUCGAUGCCGUAAGUUAGGACUACAGUGACCCAACGACACCAGCCCCUUGAAGGUGGCAGUCACGACAUCAGAUAAUCAGCAUUCCGUUUAACUGGAGAAACUAUCGAUGUCGGCCGAGUAUCUCUUCUUCUCCAUUUUUUAAAUGUCCUCGUGUCACACCCAUGUGAGUGUGGGUGUAUUCAUGAGGACCCCUUUUUCUCGCCUGGUGGAUUCAACUCUUCAGCGAAUGAAACACUUGUGUAUGGAUGCCUGGCCAUAUUUCCAAGGCUUAAAGUCUUUUCUUUCCGAUUAUGAUAAUAACGAACGGACGGCACGUAAUAUAACGCACAAGUAUGUUGCCAUCCUCCUCGUCUGUCCCCCCAACAGCCAAAAGAGAAGACCUAUAGGGGCAAAACGGGGCUAAAUAAGACCUAUAACUUGUUGCUAUUUUGUGUCCGAGAUAUGCAUCUUAUGAGAGCCAGAGGAGAAAUAGAAUGAAAGCUCGAAAAAUUGAUGGGACAAGGUGUCGAACUCUACUCUCGCCAGCCUUUAGCGUCGAACGUUAUCAUCCUUAAAUCUCUCAACGCAUCUCCACUGCCUGGUUAGUUAAAGGAAAAGUUAAACUUCAUUUUAAUUUAGUUUAUCGUCGCUGCUCUCUUGGCCGUUGCUGCCGCCGCUCCUUCCGGCUACCAAUCAACCCAUAGAGAUUCCAGUUACAUGACGUCUCCCAUCUACGGUUCUAACAACAAGGACAGCAAAUAUGGCGGAAUCACCAUCACCAGCCAACACGACGUCCGCAAUCUCGACGGAAGCAGCAAAUGAG